GACAGAGGAUGCAAGCGUUAUCCGGAAUGAUUGGGCGUAAGCGUCUGUAGGUGGCUUUUAAGUCCGCCGUCAAAUCCCAGGCUCAACCUGGACAGGCGGUGGAAACUACCAAGCUGGAGUACGGUAGGGGCAGAGGGAAUUUCCGGUGGAGCGGUGAAAUGCGUAGAGAUCGGAAAGACACCAACGGCGAAAGCACUCUGCUGGGCCGACACUGACACUGAGAGACGAAAGCUAGGGGAGCGAAUGGG
rnacentral:rRNA from 1 species